rnacentral:rRNA from 1 species
UACAGAGGUCUCAAGCGUUGUUCGGAUUCAUUGGGCGUAAAGGGUGCGUAGGUGGCGCCGUAAGUCAGGUGUGAAAUUUCGGAGCUUAACUCCGAAACUGCAUUUGAUACUGCGGUGCUUGAGGACUGGAGAGGAGACUGGAAUUUACGGUGUAGCAGUGAAAUGCGUAGAGAUCGUAAGGAAGACCAGUGGCGAAGGCG